UGCUUAGCCAGGGGAGCGGAGUGAAAAGUGCGGUAAAUUGGAAUUGUUUGGCAUGCUGUUAUAUUAGGCUAGCAUUAGCUUCCUUAUAAUAGAGUACGACGCUUAUAAGUAUGUGGGUUCUUGUAGAUUACCGACGGACGAAGACAAUCCGGGCAUUGGCGUUCCAUGUGUUAAAGGGUGUGCGUGUGCAGUCACCGGUAACUGAAGUACGGAGGCAUUUUGUUGGGUUUAACAAGGAUCGUGUUGGUGUUAAGAGCGUUUGCCUAAUUGCUGCUGCGUGCGGGAGGGGUGGAUGGCCUGGGAGCCGGCUUGUGAAUGAACCCCGCCACUCGUCGUUUUUGCCAUUUUGUUUGGACAGCUAGCCACUGUUUUCCCAUAUGUGAAGUUUGUAUAUGUUUAUUUAUAUCAUGUCUGAAAAUGAGCUCUUUUAAUCAUUGAUGUUUUACUGUUGAUGCAACUUGUUGUGUUUGGGCAGUGUGCAGUACCAAGGGUGGGCUGUACUAUUGUAAUCAACCAUUAUAUGAGAGCAGUGUGCAAUAUCAAGGCUGGGACAAGGGGAGGUGCCAGUGGGCAGGUGUACUUUGGACAAUUGUCUAUCAAACUGAUUAUCUUGGCACUUCAUGUUCUUUACUCCCUACUACAUUACUUAUUUUAAGUCUUAAUUGGCUUUGCUUGGGUUCUCGUAUUUAGUGGGCAGGGCUCGAUGCUCAAUGUGUUACGGGGACCACCCAUGUGGUGUGAUUACGAUUGGUGUGUAUUAACCAAGCCUUUUAUGGUUAACCUGGUGUCACCUUGGUUGCGGUGCUUGGGGUGUUGAGUCACUGGGAAGCCCUGUACUUAUUGUGGAUCAAAAGUGGGUUGCCUGUCAAUAUUGAGCAUUGCGGUGCUGCCCAACAUUAUUUAUUGGAAUCUUGCAUAUAAACUUGUGUUGAUGAGAACUCAUGUAUGUACCCCUAAUACACUGCUGUAAGUAAAGGUUGGUCUUUUACACAACAAAUAUUUUAAUUACUCUGAACGAAUGGUAUAAAUAAAGUAUUAUUGUGUUGCUUUUGAUA